rnacentral:rRNA from 1 species
GUAGGUGGCAAGCGUUGUCCGGAAUUAUUGGGCGUAAAGCGCGCGCAGGCGGUUCUUUAAGUCUGAUGUGAAAGCCCACGGCUCAACCGUGGAGGGUCAUUGGAAACUGGAGAACUUGAGUACAGAAGAGGAAAGCGGAAUUCCACGUGUAGCGGUGAAAUGCGUAGAGAUGUGGAGGAACACCAGUGGCGAAGGCGGCUUUCUGGUCUGUAACUGACGCUGAGGCGCGAAAGCGUGGGGGAGCAAACAGGAUUAGAUACCCUGGUAGUCCACGCCGUAAACGAUGAGUGCUAAGUGUUAGGGGGUUUCCGCCCCCUUAGUGCUGCAGCUAACGCAUUAAGCACUCCGCCUGGGAGUACGGCCGCAAGGCUGA